GCAUUGGUGGUUCAGUGGUAGAAUUCCUGAUUUCCAUGUUAGAGACUGGGGUUCAGUUCCUGGCCAAUGCA
rnacentral:tRNA from 1 species